AAUCGAUGCAUCGAACAUUUCUAAAUUAAGUCUUUAAAUCAUUUCCAAGCUUCAUAUAUUGUUUCAUCCUCCAAUUUUCGAAAAGAUGUGAUGUCAUUUCUAAGUUU
rfam:Gossypium arboreum cultivar AKA8401 contig_29025_3, whole genome shotgun sequence.